UUCAUCUUGAUAUUCUUAUAUAUUGAAAAAAUUUGUCUCCAUAAUAUAACGGAUUGUUUUAAUCUAAGUCCCUUGUCUCUUGUAUCAUGUUGGCACAUCGAUCAAAUGACGUUAUGAAUCUUAAAAAAACUUAGUGUGACUGUGCAUAUAGUCUUGACACGUCUCUUGACAAAGAAUGAUCGUGUCUUUUACGAAUAACCUACCCAAUAGCGUGAUUACAACUGACUUAUGAUGACAUCUUAGCCCUUGAAAUGACAAUCUAAACGUAUCUGACAUGAUCUUAAUCUUUCUCAUGUCACUGUCGUUUUUUUUUAUACAUUGAAAUAACUUUCAAGUGAACAAUCCUUCGAUUAUUCAAUAAGAAUUAAACUAUGCCAUCUAAUAUAUAUUUAUAGUGUAUUUACACAAUGGCAUCGUAUACGAGGUUAUAAUGAUAUUCAACACUCUUCAGAUUCGCUACAGUUUCUGCAAGUAAAAAGUUUUUACUGUUUGACGAUGAUAACAUUCUUAAAUUUUGCAAAGCAAACAAACUAAGAAAAAUACAGAAAAUCAAGGAGAUUACAAAAUUGUUAACAUAAUCAGUUUAAUAUUUUAUGAGUGACAUAUCAUUUAUUGGCAAAUCUUUCUCCAAAAUUGUCAUUGAGAUUAAUAAUGCCAGCAUGAAUUCCAACCGACUUUAUUAUGGAUUGAUAAGAGAUGUUUAAUGUUACAAAUCUCUAUUACAAUAAUGCAGUAAUAAUUUUGUUUCCAAUCGUAAAAGGUGCUAGAAUACAAUACCGAUCAGGCAGCCUUAGUUGUUGUUAUUGUUGUGCAACUUGCAAGACAACAUUAGGAUCAUUUUCCCAUUGAAUCAUUGGUGAUAGGCCUGGUUGAAUUCUCCAAUGUCCACCAUUAUACAGUGUAUGAACGUGGCGUAUAUUUCGUAUUAAUUCAACAAUACGAUCCAUGCUGACUGGCCCAACACAACUAUUAUCACUCAAUACAUUCUGAUUAUGAAUGUAGCCCACCAUAAGGGAGUUCAACUCACGUAAUCUUCUGAAAUUGUUUGGAUCAACAAUCUCUACAGCAUCUGAUUCAAAAUCAUUUGAUGGAUCAUCAUGGCGACUUGAUGGGCCUAUAAAAAUAUUUCCUGGCAUCCAUAUAUAUCUAGAAAUAAAAGACUCGAAGGAAUCCAUAAGCAAAGCAACUGGAAUUAUAUGAUGUCUAGCGGCGUUAACCACUUCGUUCGGUCCCAAUUGAAUUUGCAUUAUGCUACCAAUGACUCUUCUACCAUCUGGUCGUGAAUUUAUAUACAAUGGAGAUGUGUAGUAUUCGUCCCAUUCUCCUCCAGAGAAAACUGGACAACCGGCUGAGCUUUGUGUUACAUUAGGACGAAUAGCAAUAGAAACACCACAUAAAGUAAUUAAGGUGAAAAAUAAUCGUAACAUGAUGAAGACUGUACAACGAACGACUGUUGAUGUGCUGCUAUAUGAGUAGGAUUUAUAUACACUUGCUCGUGGCGGCAGCAGUGUAAUACUUUGCAUAAACACCGAUAAGAGACAAAUGUGUAUUAAGUGCAGAUAGAAAAAAACGUAUUUGAAAAAUGUUUGGUUUAAAAUGAAUUUUUUCUAAUCUUUUACUAUCUAUAGUUGUUAAAUUUUGUACUGAUAUUUAAAAACAAACUGUAUCACUAAGACAUAUAAA